rnacentral:rRNA from 1 species
AGUGAACGCUGGCGGUAGGCCUAACACAUGCAAGUCGAACGGCAGCACAGUAAGAGCUUGCUCUUACGGGUGGCGAGUGGCGGACGGGUGAGGAAUACAUCGGAAUCUACUUUUUCGUGGGGGAUAACGUAGGGAAACUUACGCUAAUACCGCAUACGACCUACGGGUGAAAGCAGGGGAUCUUCGGACCUUGCGCGAUUGAAUGAGCCGAUGUCGGAUUAGCUAGUUGGCGGGGUAAAGGCCCACCAAGGCGACGAUCCGUAGCUGGUCUGAGAGGAUGAUCAGCCACACUGGAACUGAGACACGGACCAUACUCCUACGAGAGGCAGCAGUGGGGAAUAUUGGACAAUGGGCGCAAGCCUGAUCCAGCCAUACCGCGUGGGUGAAGAAGGCCUUCGGGUUGUAAAGCCCUUUUGUUGGGAAAGAAAAGCAGCAGGUUAAUACCCCGCUGUUCUGACGGUACCCAAAGAAUAAGCACCGGCUAACUUCGUG